rnacentral:tRNA from 1 species
ACUUAGGUAGUUUAAUUAAAACUUUGAUUUGUGGUGUCAAGAAUAUGGAUUUAUUUCAUCUUAGGUC